rnacentral:rRNA from 1 species
UACGUAGGGCGCAAGCGUUGUCCGGAAUUAUUGGGCGUAAAGAGCUCGUAGGCGGCUUGUCACGUCGGGGUGUGAAAGCCCGGGGCUUAACCCCGGGUCUGCAUUCGAUACGGGCUAGCUAGAGUGUGGUAGGGGAGAUCGGAAUUCCUGGUGUAGCGGUGAAAUGCGCAGAUAUCAGGAGGAACAUCAGUUGCGAAGGCGGCUCUCUGGACCAGCACUGACACUGAGGCACGAAAGCGUGGGGAGCAAACAGG